ensembl:misc_RNA Metazoa_SRP Metazoan signal recognition particle RNA
GCUUGCCUAGAGCCCCAGCUCCGUGGGAAGCUGAGGCGGGACGAUCUCUUGAGCCCAGGAGUUCUGGACUGUAGUGUGCUGUGCCAGUCGGGUGUCUGCACUAAGUUUGGCAUCAGAUAGUGACCUCCUGGGAGCAGGGGACCACCAGGUUGCUUAGGGAGGAGUGAACCAGCCCAGGUCAGAAACAGCAGGUCAAAACUCCUGUGCCGAUCAGCAGUGGGAUCAGGCUGUGAAUAGCCACUGCACUCCAGCUGGGGCAACAUAGCCAGACUCCAUCUCUU